UACGGGGGGUGCAAGCGUUGUUCGGAUUUACUGGGCGUAAAGGGCGCGUAGGCGGUCACUACAAGUCAGUUGUGAAAUCUCUGGGCUUAACUCAGAACGGUCAACUGAUACUGUCGGACUAGAGUGCAGAAGGGGCAACUGGAAUUCUCGGUGUAGCGGUGAAAUGCGUAGAUAUCGAGAGGAACACCUGCGGCGAAGGCGGGUUGCUGGGCUGACACUGACGCUGAGGCGCGAAAGCUAGGGGAGCGAACGGG
rnacentral:rRNA from 1 species